GAUGAACGCUGGCGGCGUGCCUAAUACAUGCAAGUCGAGCGAACAGACGAGGAGCUUGCUCCUCUGACGUUAGCGGCGGACGGGUGAGUAACACGUGGAUAACCUACCUAUAAGACUGGGAUAACUUCGGGAAACCGGAGCUAAUACCGGAUAAUAUAUUGAACCGCAUGGUUCAAUAGUGAAAGACGGUUUUGCUGUCACUUAUAGAUGGAUCCGCGCCGCAUUAGCUAGUUGGUAAGGUAACGGCUUACCAAGGCAACGAUGCGUAGCCGACCUGAGAGGGUGAUCGGCCACACUGGAACUGAGACACGGUCCAGACUCCUACGGGAGGCAGCAGUAGGGAAUCUUCUGCAAUGGGCGAAAGCUUGACGGAGCAACGCCGCGUGAGUGAUGAAGGUCUUCGGAUCGUAAAACUCUGUUAUUAGGGAAGAACAAAUGUGUAAGUAACUAUGCACGUCUUGACGGUACCUAAUCAGAAAGCCACGGCUAACUACG
rnacentral:rRNA from 1 species